rnacentral:lncRNA from 1 species
CUCUUGUGUGGUUAUUUCACACAGCCCAGUUCCCCUGGAGUGAUCCCUGAGUGUUUUAGUCAUGGGAAUAAGACACCUACAUUUUAGGAGCAAAUUUUUACCCCUCACACAUCAGAUAGAGCACUAAUAUCUAGGGUAUAUAAAGAACUCAAAAAGUUAAACACCACAAAAACAAAUAACCCAAUCAAUAAAUGGACCAAGGACCUGACAGACACUUAUCAGAGGAUGAUAUACAAUCAAUCAACAAAUAUAUGAAAAAAAUGUUUAUCAUCACUAGCAAUUAGAGAAAUGCAGAUCAAAACCACUCUAAGAUUUUAUCUCACUCCAGUCAGAAUGGCAGCUAUUAUGCAUACAAACAACAAUAAUAGUUGACAAGGAUGUGGGGGAAAAGGUACACUCAUACAUUCCUGGUGGAACUGCAAAUUGGUGCAGCCAAUAUGAAAAGCAGUAUGGAGAUUUCUUGGAAAAUUGGGAAUGGAACCACCAUUUGACCCAGCUAUCCCACUCCUCAGUCUAUACCCAAAGGACUUAAAAAUAUUACCCAGUGUUUAGAAGAGGUUUCACCAAGAGUAUCAGAGUUGUUAAUUUCACUCAUUGUUGUCUCAAUUGUGUUGAGACUAUUCUUCAGAUCUUAGAAAGGUGAAGGACCACACCUUAGGUUGACAGGUCUCAGAUUCUUCCCCAGAACUUCUGUGAGGCAAAAGGCCUUCAAUAGGGUUACAGUGGUGUUCAAGCCCUCCACCAGGGUCUAAGUGGGAUUGUGGAUCUUUCCCAGGAUAUCCUUGUGUCUCAGUGCUUUUCAAUAUCAACAAUGAAGCUCAUGGCUUUCCCAUGUUCUUUAGUGGCUCUCAAUGC